rnacentral:rRNA from 1 species
AAUAGAUACCCCGGUAGUCCACGCCGUAAACGAUGAGUGCUAGGUGUUGGAGGGAAACCUUCGGUGCCGCAGCUAACGCAUUAAGCACUCCGCCUGGGGAGUACGUACGCAAGUAUGAAACUCAAAGGAAUUGACGGGGACCCGCACAAGCAGCGGAGCAUGUGGUUUAAUUCGAAGCAACGCGAAGAACCUUACCAGGGCUUGACAUGCCCCUGCCCGCUCUAGAGAUAGAGCUUUACCCUUCGGGGUACAGGGGACACAGGUGGUGCAUGGUUGUCGUCAGCUCGUGUCGUGAGAUGUUGGGUUAAGUCCCGCAACGAGCGCAACCCUUGCCUUUAGUUGCCAUCAUUAAGUUGGGCACUCUAGAGGGACUGCCGAUGACAAAUCGGAGGAAGGUGGGGAUGACGUCAAAUCAUCAUGCCCUUUAUGUCCUGGGCUACNCACGUGCUACAAUGGUCGGUACAACGAGCAGCAACACAGUGAUGUGAGGCAAAUCUCUAAAAGCCGAUCCCAGUUCGGAUUGC